GCUAUACUGCAGUCGAGCGAAUGGAUUGAGAGCUUGCUCUCAAGAAGUUAGCGGCGGACGGGUGAGUAACACGUGGGUAACCUGCCCAUAAGACUGGGAUAACUCCGGGAAACCGGGGCUAAUACCGGAUAACAUUUUGAACUGCAUGGUUCGAAAUUGAAAGGCGGCUUCGGCUGUCACUUAUGGAUGGACCCGCGUCGCAUUAGCUAGUUGGUGAGGUAACGGCUCACCAA
rnacentral:rRNA from 1 species